GCGCAGUAGCGUAGUGCAUAUCGGCUGGUGACACAGUUAACCCUCUGCCACCCUAAGCGCGUGUUCCGUCCACAAAACUGUUUGUUUUGACGCAGAAUACAACAAGCAUAUAUUUAAACUUGUUGGUUUGUGAGAAAAAGGAUAACAUAUCAGAAUGACUUCUCCAGCAAUAAGUAAAUCACCAGAAAAACAAAAAAAUGAAAAUAAAUCACCGAUGCAUUCAGAGAGCGCAGAGCAAGCACCAUCUAACGGGAAUUCAGCCACAUCUUCCAGUAGGCAACAACCAGAUCCAUUCAGCUGUUUUAGAAUAUUCAAACUCGCCGGCCUCAUGAUGAAGCAAGGAUGUUAAAUCAUUUUCAAGUAACAAUGUAUUUAAAAUACACUGUUUAUUAAAUAGAAAGUAAGCUGUUAUUAUUAGAAAGUAUUAUUUUAAAUCCAAUGAAAAUUCAUCUAUGAGAAAUAAAGUCUUCAGAGAAGGUAGCAAUUUACAAAGAACAUUUUUAAAAGUUAUAAAUUUUGCUUAAAAUGCUUUAAAAUAUUACGUAUUUUAGUACAAUGUAAGAAAAAAAAUUAAGAAAAUCCAAUAUACAAAGAACAAAUUGUAAUGAAAUUUAGCAUGCCUAUAAAUUAAUUUAAUUUCUCUAUAAAAGCAAUGAUAUUAUAAAGUGUAGAUAUGUUAAACCGUAACAAAACAAUCAAGAAAAAAAAAUCACAAAAAGUGACAGCACGCAUACGCAUUGUUUUAUGUUCAAUUCACUACACUAUGCCACACUUUAUCGUGUGAGCGAGGUAGUGCUUAUUUAAAUUUGUACAAAAAAGAAGAUAGCUAGUGUUCACGUCACUUAUGGGUUAUGUACGAAAAUUUUACGCAGAUCAGCUUUUGGCAAAGAUUAUAAUAAAAGAAAUAUACAGAGGUUACAACUACUUUACUUUAAAACUAGGUAGAUGGUUAUAUAAUUAUUGCAUAACCGUCAAAAAGUAUUCAGUAAUCUUAUAAAAAUUGAAUUGCAAUAUGAUUAUGUUUAUCGAUACUACAUUCAUUUCUACGAUACUGUGAGUUUAACGAGUGAAUCAAGCGAAGUAAUAGUGUUUUUUUUCAGUGGUCGUGUUUGUUGAUCGUUAAGUUUUUCGAAUCUAGACGUUCUGUAGUUAUCGAAUUGAGAUGUUUCCUUAAAUCAUUUCUUAAGCCAUGUCUAGUACGGGGAAUCAACUAUUGACUUUUACAUUUUUCAAUAAUAUUUUAUUUUUAAUGGAUCGCCAUAAAACGGCAAUUUAGUAUCGGGAAAGAUAAUAUAAUACGCAAAAAUAAAUCAUAGAAAUUAAAACAUA